CCUCGGAUCAGGUAGGAAUACCCGCUGAACUUAAGCAUAUCAAA
rnacentral:rRNA from 1 species